UGCCAGUCUGUUCAUCAACACAACUUCACAGCUUGUCCUCCUCCACCAACACCUCCUGCACUUGUGUAUGAAUACCUGAUUUCUCUGGAGCUGAACACCACAGAUGUUACAUUAAUAAAUCAGCUGAGGAUUU